CCUACGGGUGGCUGCAGUCGAGAAUCUUCCGCAAUGGACGAAAGUCUGACGGAGCGACGCCGCGUGGUUGAUGAAGUCCUUAGGGACGUAAAAACCUUUUAUGAGGGAAGAAGUUUAUUGACAUUACCUCAUGAAUAAGGGGCUCCCAACUCUGUGCCAGCAGGAGCGGUAAUACAGAGGCCCCGAGCAUUACCCGGAUUUACUGGGCGUAAAGGGUGUGUAGGUGGUGUGAUUAGUCGGGCGUAAAAUCCUGAGGCUUAACCUCAGGCUCGCGUUCGAAACGGUCACACUAGAGGAAGUGAGAGGUGUGUGGAACUCAAGGUGUAGGGGUGAAAUCCGUUGAUAUCUUGGGGAACACCAAAAGCGAAGGCAACACACUGGCACUCUCCUGACACUGAAACACGAAAGCGUGGGUAGCGAAUCGGAUUAGAUACCCGAGUAGUC
rnacentral:rRNA from 1 species